GGCCCUGUUCCUAUUUACCCUGCUAAGACAUGCACACAGUUGUUUGCUUGGAUCCCAAGGAGGUUAAAGGAUGAGGAGACUAUAAAUGCCAUUGGAUUUCUUUCCUUAGGCAGACUGUGGAGAUGAACCUUGCAUCAGCAGUCACAACUGAGUAUUUCUUCUCUGGAGCAUGUUUCUCUCCAUGCAGAGCGACCUCAGGCUGUCUGGGUGCCAGGGGAGUGAUCUCCAUCUGCUGAACGCUUGUCAGGUGAACUGCUGACCUACACUGAUCUAACACCCUGCAACACCUGCGAGCUGCUCGACCGUGGCCACCGGGCCGCUGAGUGACACAGAGCAAGAUGCACCCGCAACAGCUUGAAGGAAACUGGGUCAAUUUUUUAUAGACUUUAAAAUGAAAUAUGAAUAAAACUCCUUCUGAGAGCAGUAAAGCUGGAAGCAAUUCCAAGCCUUCCUUGAGCAGAAAGGCUGCUCUGUUUCUUGACUCCCAGACAUGAACACUGAAGCGUUAUCCUGUCAUCCACUGAGCACUUCAACCACUGUAAAGGAGGCACCUGGGCUCGGAAGAUCAAAGCUCUGCUCAGUCUUCUCAAGUUGGAUAUUCUGGUAUUUCUGGUGCAUCUUGCAUAUGCAGAAACAGCAAAAUUUCUCUUGGAGAACAGGCAUCAUCACAGAGAGGGGACAGAUGGUGUUCGAUAAGGAGACCGAACUACGGCUCGAUCUUCCCAAAGAAAGUGGGUCCUGCAAGAGCAAGGGAAGACAUCAGUUAGAUUGUCACAAAUAAGCCCCAACUGUUGCAAAACAGCAUCUGAUUUCCUAGAUUAAUCUGAAAGCUCGUUAGUACCAUUUAUCUUAACAAGAAGUUUGAUUGCCACUAAGAUGUUAAGUGUACUGUCAAUGAAUGGCUGACCAUUUUUUGGAAGAAGAUGGUGUGAGACUGAGAACUUACAGGUGGGAGCUCAGUUAUGAUAAUGUGACUUAAAUUUUAAGUCCCGUAAGUUACAUUGAAUCAAUGAAGAAUUGUUUUUUAAGGGAGUGCCUCCUUCUGUGUUUUAAUACAGAGUUGGAGGUGAUUAUUGUCCUUGCUUUUUUUGUCACCUGAGGUUUUGAAAGGCUCACCUCUCCUGGAAGUUGUCCGCUACUUCAUUUUUUAUGUCCUUCUGAAUAACCUCAACUGUUAAUUGUGGUAGCUGUUCUGAGAAGAGCAUUUCAGAACUACAUCUUAGCCAAGUGUUAAAGAAAACUCCUCAACAAACAUUGAUGUCCUUGGCUAACUCUAAUUGACUGGGACUUUCCUACAACUUAAACCCACAAGUGCUUGGGCUGUAUGAAUGAUUCCUUUCAAAGUGCCAAAAACUUGCAGGUGCUGUCCUAGUUCUGGGACAAGCUAUGGCUGAAUGAGGGGUUGGAUCAUGGGGAAACCUUACUGUAGGUACUGUGGAACUGUCUGUUUGAUUUACAGCAGAAAGAAAUGUUCUGGCAGUCCUACUUGAUGUUUCAAGCCUCAGUGGGUAUAUCCAGCCCUACUCAAGCAUGGGGUGUAAGUAUUUGUUUAAGAGGCUAUCGGAGAAUCAUGCCCUUUUGAAUGGGAAGUUUGCCAGCCACAUCAGUUGGGACAAGAUUAUUGACUGUCUGAGGCAAAGCUUAGAAGAUAAUUGUUGUGUUUAACUGUUAAUUCUUUAGCAUUAUCCCAGUAACUUGUUGAUGCAUUUAAGAGAUGCUUGAUGUCUAUAUAUACACACACCCACGCGUGUGCACUCGCCCUCCUUUGGGAAUUCCCGUGCCCUUGCUAAUAUGUAUGCAAAAGAUUCCUGGGCUUUCUUAUUUGUAAACAGAAAAUGUUUGGACUUAUGUCCCGAUAAAGGAAGAUACUACAAACACAACAUGAAGCUGCAUUUGUCUCUGUUUCAGCUUAGAAGCUCAUCAGCUCAUCCUUGCGCACUUACUGCCAUGGUUCAAGAUGCUGAAGCUGCAGAAACACUGAAGCAAAAAAUAAUGUUUCAUAUUGCUAACCCUGUGCUACAGGGAUAGUUCACCCAUUUGGAGAGCUGUGCAGAAACCAAGAUAUCCUUCACUCGGUAGGAUCUCUAUGAUCUGGGAAUUGGUACCUGCCUCCUGACAUGUCUCAUGCUGGGAGACAGGUCUAUGAAGUCAUGGAGCCGGGCUGUCUGCAAUCAGGACUGCUGUACUACAUCCAAAGCAAGCUUGCCAGUCAGCAAACGCUGCAUUAAUCUUUCAGGGAGUGUUUGUUUUGCUUGUUUUGCUAGGCUGAGUUUCAAGCAACUGAUAAUGUGUUCAUGAGCAGUUCUCCUGUUGCAGCCCAUUUAAAAAAAAAAAAAUAAAAAUUUGAAGACCGAAGCUCCCAAGGUUGGGUGGAAUAUGGGUUUGAAGGCUUAUAUGUGAUCUUGCUUCAGUGUGUGAGCUCAAGAUGCUUUUGAAUGCAUGUAAUAUGCCUGUGCAGGUACAUUUGGGACAGUGGAGUUGUGGCUCUUUGAAGGCUGAUUUUUAAAAAUAUACCUUGGAUGUGGUCCUUCUCUUUUGGAACUAAUUCUGCUCGUGGAGUUACCUCACUGCAAACGAGAUGUACUUUAGUUUGCUUAGCAAUAGUCAAACCUUCAGAUUGCUGAAGUAUAAAUGCUGAAGACCUCUGACAAAGAAGUGUUUGAAGACACUUUAUUGUUCACAAGUUUUUAAGUAUUGAAAUAUCUGAAAUUUUGGGAGGUAAAUGACAGUGGGUCUGGCUUGUUCUCACGUGUACCUGCAGUGUUGCUGCUCUAUCCAACUGCAUCACUGAAGUUACAGUUCUCACACACUGUUAAAAGCCCAUUCUUCAAAGUACUUUUACAUUUAGCUCCUCUAAGCAAAACGGUAUUUAGAUACCCAAAUAACUAGGAUGCGAAAAACUCAAAUGUAAUUCUGGAGACUUGCAGUGUAGAACCUGUAAAUAUGAGGCAUUUUUCUGGACUUUGCUGGCUUUUAUUUUAAGAAACUCUGCACUCUUUGAUGACUUGCAAAAUAAAAUCUAGCAACAUUUCCACCAGUGAAGAGAAUUUCAACAUCCAGAGUGAGAACAGAAAGAUACACUGUGAUCUCGAGGUCCUUUAGCCUGCUUAUGUGCUCUGAAAGAAUGUU